AGAAUAGGAGUUAUUUUCAAGGCCUCAAGAAAGGAAAAAGGCGCACUACUUUGCAAGGCUACUAAGAUCAAAGUGUCACUCUUCCCUCCGCCGCCGGAUGGCGCGGAGGGAUUCUUCAGACAUACCUCGUUUCCGGUGUUAGCUUGGUGGGCGGGGAGAGAAGUCUUUCAGCCCAAGGAAGGUUUUUAUUGUGAAGUCCGAGGCCACCUGGUUAUCGCGCGAGAUGCUGGCGGAGAGCGAGCGUCGAGCUGAUUGGCUAGUCAUGAUGCAGUUCCCCGACGAGAUUUUGUUAAACUGGUAUCUGCCGCUCUCCCAAGUCUGCAACUGCCCGGUGUGUCCAUCCUAACCACUUCCCAGCACGUCCGCCUAAUGGCGCUGAUGUGGCGGGAGAAGCUUGAGGCUUCUCGCGGAGCAUCGGUUUGGAAGCAGCAGUCCAGCUCAAGGCCUGCAACUUGCUCUCUGCUGGGGAGCUGUGAAGAGUGCCAAGAAAGGUCUCCAUCAUCCUCCCGUGUCCUUCACAGUCGGGGCCUGUAGGGGCAGAAACCUUGUUUCUGCCUCCCAUUUCAGUGGGCCAUUCAAGUAUCUGUAGGAGGGCGGUGAGGUCAGAAAAUUGGGGAAACACUGUCUUUGAUAACUACAAACCAUUCAUUGCUUUGAUUCAGUCUAGCUAGCCCAACCAUUUCUUUAGGCCAAACAACUAAUGGGGCGGGGUGUGUGGCCCAAAGUCACAUAGUUGCCAGUGGAGGCGGUAUGGGGCAGGCCUUGGAAGACAAAUUUUUGAGGCAAACCCAAGAAUCCUGGCUCUUCUAUUUAGUAGCUGAGACGUUUUGGUUAAGCAGUUUAUCCUUGCUAAGCCAGUUUCCUCAUCUGUAAAAUGAGGCUAAUGAUGAGUAUCCUCCUCCUUAGAAUGAUCAUAUUUGGAAAGCACUGAGCAAAGUGCUGGUAAGUGCUCAAUAAACGGUUGCCUAUUAUUACCAUUAUUAGAACUCAGGGUCUUCUGAUCCUGAACUCCCCACUCCACAUCUUCCUUACAUCCUGCUUCCUCAGAGGCCUCCUCUUCUUGACUGAAAUGAAACCACAACAACUGGUACAUGCAAAGUACACUGCAUACUGGGACAAGAAUGGUUUUUCUACUGCCUUGGAGAAUCACAAAUGUCAAGAUAUAACGAAGUUGUCUGGUCUUUCAGUACAAAGGCAGUAAGUAUCUCUGAGCCAUUACACAAGUCUUCCAAGGUGUAACUAAGGACCCAUGGGGCACGUCCUCCUUUUGCUGUAUCAGGAGACCUGCCAGUGCCUCCUUACGGACAACCAUGCAGAAGGUUGAGAAUUAAAGUAAUAUUGCCCCAGUUUUGACACUGCAGGAGGUCACAGAUGAAUGACUCCAGUGGCAGCUUGUCCCAUCCAUUCUAUCAUGAAGACCCAGAUCAAGCACUUAAAAGGUUCUUCUGGCUGAAAAUGGAGGAGGAUCACUCCUGUAGGAAAAUGUUUCAUACCACACACAGAAGUCAAAGCUAUUGGAAAGGAGACUUUUAUUUUUUUCUUUCCAUGCUGUGGAAGGUCCUCAUGUUCCCCAGCUUUAUUUCCUCCCUCAAGGAGAAAAAAGAGUUCUCUGGGUCUCAGGGCUAAGCUGCUUCUAUGUGGACCUAGCCAAGGUGGGACAGAGAGACCAGUGACGGAUUCCAGAUCUACCAGCUGAAUGCAUCCACUGCUACUGAAGGGCAGGCAAGUGACUAGAAGGCAAGUUGUGUCCUUGGCCUCAGGGAGCAAGAAUUUAAAGACUACAAGGUGAUCCGAAUGAAAAGGUAAACACGCUGGACACAGCCUCAAAACCCACAUCUGGUGUUUUGGCCACUUAGAAUCAGCAGUGUGUAAGAGGGACACAGCCUGACAGCUCUAGUCCCAGGUGUCUUUACCAUUCUCUUUGGCCUUGAGCUUUAACAGGACGGGCAGAGUGAUAACCAACCCUGUGAGCAGUUUUCAGCCAGGGUCACAGUAUCAAGGAAGAUGUACCAUGGCAGAGGACUAAGACACAUGCGGGGUUCCCUACUUGCAGAACUCCUCCUGGGGCCUCUCCAGGACCUUGUGAUCCUGAAGCUGAUUCCUUGUCAAAACAUGUGAGUUCUCAGGGGGUGCCUGGGUGGCUCAGUUGGUUAAAUGUCUGGGUCUUGAUCUCAGGGUCCUGAGUUCAAGCCCUGCAUUGAGCUCCAUGCUGGGCAUGGAGCCUACUUAAAAAAAAAGCUUUUGGUCAUGAUCUCAGGGUCCUGGGAUUGAGCCCCUCAUCUGGCUCCCCGCUCAGCAGGGAAUCUCCUUGUCCCCCUCCCUCUGCUUCUGCUCUUCCCCUUGCUUGUGCUCUCUUUCAAAUAAAUAAAAUCUUCAAAAAAAAAAAAAAAUGAGAGUUCUCAACUGGAGCGGAGUACAAGGGAGCAAAACCAGCUAAUCUGGAGUGUGAACAGGGUGACCACCAGGGGCUGAGACCAAGGAGGAAAGACUGUAGGCCUCAACAGUUCUUCCAGACAUUAGUUUUUGAUUAUUUAUUUGAGGAAAAAAAAAAGUCACAACCAAGCAUAUAAAAUACUGUUAUCCUGAACUCAUUUUUUAGGACGGGCCAACAGGGAAAAAACCCAAAUACGCUUUGGAAUUGAUUAGGCUUUCAAGGUAAAGAGUAUAUUUUUUAAGCAUUAGGCUAACUCAUGGUUUGCUAACCUAGACGGUGCGAAAAACUUCAGGCAAAGGUGGGAGUUACUGAGUAGAAAGGCAGAAUGGCAGGGAGAGGCAAAACAUCCUUCCCCAAAGAUUAAAAAAAUUGGACGGAGGGGGGGGCGGAGUGGGGGGUGGGGGUUGGGGCAGAGCGUUGUCCUCUUCCAUCCAAGAACCUCCAAGCACUAGACUAUCUUCCAUGUUUUACAAGGCUGGCCCAGCCUCAGUCAGCAAACCCACCAGGACGAGGGCCAAGAACUCCCACUGCUUCUAGUUCUGAGGACUUCCGGGUGGUUCUUGCUUGUGAAAUGGGAAAGUUACGGUUUUUGGUUUUGUGAAAAACAUAGUUAAGAGACAGAGAUGCCCUUAGAAAGAUGCUCUUUUAAGAAAGGACAUAAAAUCAAAUCACAAUUACACCUGGCUUUGAUAAUUGGGGACUUCGUCUUUAAAACCGCUUGUUUUUUCCAGCUCUCCUUCCAAUGUUUUAAUAUGGAAUUUGGUCAGAGAUGCCAGCUUGGGAAAACUAGGUCCUCUAAUACAUUAGGAAAACCAAAUCCUUUAUCUCAACGAAGCCUAACCCAUGCUUUUGCAACCUCCCCUCUUCCUUCCCUCUAAUGGAUACCAGACAGGUGCACAGGAACGUUCGAUGCCAGGUCCUGCCCCGUACCCUCUCUGCCAGUCACCUAGGGUAGCACUCAGGCACAGAGCAUUUCUUUAAACUCUAAUCUGAUUCUGAUGAACAGCCAGGAUGGAGGAUCUCUCUCGGGGUUCUGGGCUUUAUAUUUUUCAUUCUCUCAGUGGCUUCAUACA